rnacentral:misc_RNA from 1 species
AAUAUAAGCUAUUUGACUUCCUAUUUCCGGUUAAAAUGGCACAGAAUGUCCAGGUGUGUGAGGUGCCUCAAGAAGUGGUCGACAAAUUAAAAAAAUUCAGAUUUAGAAAAGAGAAAAAUAUUGCUGCAAUCAUGUUAAAAGUUGAAAAGAAGACUAUGAAAAUUAUCAUCGAAGAAGAGUUUGAUGACUGUACUAUUGAUGAACUGCAAGCAGAAUUACCUGCAUCCCAGCCUCGCUAUCUGGUAAUUAGUUAUGUCCGACAUCACGACGAUGGAAGAGUAUCGUAUCCUCUCUGUUUUGUCUUCAGUAGUCCUGUAGGUAAGUACUCACAUUCAGGGUCUCAUCUUUGCUAGCGAAGGAUUUUCAUUUCACUGAUUUUUUAAUUCUUAAUAAUACCCUUGGCUAUUGAAGAAGCUUAUAUCCGUGUUCAUAUGACAUCACACAAAUGUGUAUGAUGGAUUAAGCCACUAUCAAUAUUUAUUUUUUAAUGUAGUAUGCAUCAAUCAGUAUUAUAACUGUUAUACAUAGGAUUGAAAAGACCCAAAAAUGAGUGACUCAAAUUACAAUUAAUGAGACAGAGAUUUUUGUUAGAAUUAAAAACUGAGAUGUUUGUCAAGAAAGAAUUUUAUUCAACAAGAUUGACAUCCAGUUGAAUGUUGUAUAUACACAUGGACCAGGUAAUUUUAGAACAUCACACAUGGUACUGGUCCCAGUUUGUUAUGGAGUUAAAACUCAUUCUCCUUUCUGUAGGAUGUCAUCCAGAACAACAAAUGAUGUAUGCUGGUAGUGUUCUCUGUUUAAUUCAGACCUUGGGCCUCACAAAGACAUUUGAUAUCAGAAAUCCAGAAGAAUUUGACGAGGAAUGGCUGUUGCAACAGUUGGGCAAGGUGUAACUGAUCUCAGCCUUUUGGAAUGGACACUGAUCCAGCAGUAUGGAGGCAAUAGGUUCUACCAUCUUCAUCUAACUUAACUCAGGCAGUGCAAGCAUUCUUAUGGAAAGGGACCAUCAUUUAGUCCAGAGAUUCCAGUGGGGACAUAUACCUAUUGUUCUCAGUUCUGUUUUUAUCAUCAGACUCCUUUAAGUCAAUGAUAUUUUUAAAUGAAGAUAGUUAUGUAUUACUUUUAUGUAUUGCUUUAAAUAUAUUGCUUUGAGAAUAUCUAUUUGAGCCUCCUUUUUUCAUUUGAAAUUAGGUGGAUAAACAUGUACAUGUACUUGUAUAAAAGAGUAUUUUUAAGAUUUACGGUACUUCUAGUUGCCAAAACUAUACCCCCACCUUUAUCUCUCAACAUUUUUGUCAUGAUACAAUGUGCCAAGAAUGUGCGGCUUGCAAACUAUUUGUUUUGAUUGAUAAAGUAAAUACACAAAGUACGUGCAAAAUAAAGUCAAUAAAAACUGUU